rnacentral:rRNA from 1 species
UACAGAGGGUGCAAGCGUUAAUCGGAAUUACUGGGCGUAAAGCGUGCGUAGUCGGUUAUCUAAGUCGGAUGCGAAAUCCCCGGGCUCAACCUGGGAAUUGCAUUCGAUACUGGAUAGCUAGAGUUCGGCAGAGGGAAGUGGAAUUUCGGGUGUAGCGGUGAAAUGCGUAGAUAUCCGAAGGAACAUCAGUGGCGAAAGCGACUUCCUGGACCAGAACUGACGAUCAGGCACGAAAGCGUGGGGAGCAAACAGG